UACGUAGGGGGCUAGCGUUGUCCGGAUUUAUUGGGCGUAAAGAGCGUGUAGGCGGCCAGGUAGGUCUGGUGUGAAAACUCGAGGCUUAACCUCGAGAUGUCAUCGGAAACCAUCUGGCUAGAGUCCGAAAGAGGAGAGUGGAAUUCCUGGUGUAGCGGUGAAAUGCGCAGAUAUCAGGAAGAACACCAAUGGCGAAAGCAGCUCUCUGGGACGGUACUGACGCUGAGACGCGAAAGCGUGGGGAGCGAACAGG
rnacentral:rRNA from 1 species